rnacentral:rRNA from 1 species
UUAGAGGAUCCCGCGUUCGAUUAGCUAGUUGGUGAGGUAAUGGCUCACCAAGGCGACGAUCGAUAGCUGGUCUGAGAGGAUGAUCAGCCACACUGGAACUGAGACACGGCCCAAACUCCUACGGGAGGCAGCAGUGGGGAAUCUUGCACAAUGGAGGAAACUCUGAUGCAGCGAUGCCGCGUGAGUGAAGAAGGCCUUUGGGUUGUAAAGCUCUUUCGUCGGGGAAGAAAAUGACUGUACCCGAAUAAGAAGGUCCGGCUAACUUCGUGCCAGCAGCCGCGGUAAUACGAAGGGACCUAGCGUAGUUCGGAAUUACUGGGCUUAAAGAGUUCGUAGGUGGUUGAAAAAGUUGGUGGUGAAAUCCCAGAGCUUAACUCUGGAACUGCCAUCAAAACUUUUCAGCUAGAGUAUGAUAGAGGAAAGCAGAAUUUCUAGUGUAGAGGUGAAAUUCGUAGAUAUUAGAAAGAAUACCAAUUGCGAAGGCAGCUUUCUGGAUCAUUACUGACACUGAGGAACGAAAGCAUGGGUAGCGAAGAGGAUUAGAUACCCUCGUAGUCCAUGCCGUAAACGAUGUGUGUUAGACGUUGGAAAUUUAUUUUCAGUGUCGCAGGGAAACCGAUAAACACACCGCCUGGGGAGUACGACCGCAAGGUUAAAACUCAAAUGAAUUGACGGGGACCCGCACAAGUAGUGGAGCAUGUGGUUUAAUUCGAAGAUACGCGCAGAACCUUACCAACACUUGACAUGUUCGUCGCGACUCUAAGAGAUUAGAGUUUUCGGUUCGGCCGGACGAAACACAGGUGCUGCAUGGCUGUCGUCAGCUCGUGUCGUGAGAUGUUGGGUUAAGUCCCGCAACGAGCGCAACCCUCACUUUUAGUUGCCAUCAUUAAGUUGGGCACUCUGAAAGAACUGCCAGUGAUAAGCUGGAGGAAGGUGGGGAUGACGUCAAGUCCUCAUGGCCCUUACGUGUUGGGCUACACACGUGCUACAAUGGCAUCUACAACAGGAAGCAAAACGGCAACGUUAAGCAAAUCCCGAAAAGAUGCCUCAGUUCGGAUUGCACUCUGCAACUCGAGUGCAUGAAGCUGGAAUUACUAGUAAUCGUGGAUCAGCGUGCCACGGUGAAUGCGUUCCCGGGUCUUGUACACACCGCCCGUCACACCAUGGGAGUUGGUUCUACCUUAAGGCAAGGUUUUAAACCCUUGACCACGGUAUAGUCAGCGACUGGGGUGAAGUCGUAACAAGGUAGCCGUA